UAUAAGCCUCAUAUCACCCUUCUCCAAAGGAGCUCAGAUAUUUUAUUUGCGCUUUCAUUAACCUUUGCUGUUUUACCAGGCUUGAAAUUUCCACUUGGGGUUUUAAAAAAUGCCCCCCCCCCCCACCUUGUGCCACUCUCGUUAAGGUUCCCGGCUAAUUACCGUGCUGAAAUUUCCAGCCCAAACCCUGAUUUUGCCACGAGCCAGAGCCGCUCCCGACUCUUUGGCUCUGGGUUCUUCGUUAUCGGCCCAAAUAUUAAUCACAUCAUCAAGGAUUGACGAUUUGCCCUCUGAUACCUGUCAGAUCCAUCCGUGGGGUUUUGUUUCCGCUCCAUUAUUUUAUUACUUUUGUGUGUGGAAUUUCUCUUGCCGCUGCCUCUUGUUUGUUUUCCCCCCAAGACUUAAUUACUGUUUAUUUUCCUCCUUUGAAGUGGGUAAAACUCUUUCUGAGGUGAUAUUGUGUUGCCUUUUUCAGGCUUUUUUUUUUUGACGUUUCCUUAUAACUUCUUUGCCUGAGACUUUGGGGUGGUUUGUUGGUUUUUUUUUUUUUUUUUUACAGCUUGUUUCCAGGCUCUGUCUGAAUGAGCUGUUCUCCCAGUUAUUUGCUUUUCGGGGACGGCACGAGGCGGUUUUUAAGUGUUCCUUUGUUUUCCCCGAGUUAAGUUUGAGUCAACUUGAGGGAGUUCAGAGGUGCUAUUUAGUGCCUUGAGGCAUCAAAACGAAGGAAGGCGAUUAAUCCGGAGCGCUGAAGGCGGCGAGGCAGGAGUUUGUACCCACCCCCUCCUCUCGGGACUCUCUUUCCAGAACCUGCGAAGGCCCGAUACCGGCGGCUGCAGCCGUGACAAGGAGCUCCCCCCCAGCCCCUCCCCGGGGGUCUGUCAGCAGAUUCCUGACAACUCCAGACCCCUCUUGCCCCCUGGCAGCUGGGAUUUUGCCAGCCCGGCCUCGCUCCCCGCGUCGGAGGGAAUUCCAGCUGCCUCUCAAGGGCGAGGAUCUGCCUUUUCCACA